GGGUUGUGAGGUUAAGCGACUAAGCGUACACGGUGGAUGCCCUGGCAGUCAGAGGCGAUGAAGGACGUGCUAAUCUGCGAUAAGCGUCGGUAAGGUGAUAUGAACCGUUAUAACCGGCGAUUUCCGAAUGGGGAAACCCAGUGUGUUUCGACACACUAUCAUUAACUGAAUCCAUAGGUUAAUGAGGCGAACCGGGGGAACUGAAACAUCUAAGUACCCCGAGGAAAAGAAAUCAACCGAGAUUCCCCCAGUAGCGGCGAGCGAACGGGGAGCAGCCCAGAGCCUGAAUCAGUGUGUGUGUUAGUGGAAGCGUCUGGAAAGGCGCGCGAUACAGGGUGACAGCCCCGUACACAAAAAUGCACAUGCUGUGAGCUCGAUGAGUAGGGCGGGACACGUGGUAUCCUGUCUGAAUAUGGGGGGACCAUCCUCCAAGGCUAAAUACUCCUGACUGACCGAUAGUGAACCAGUACCGUGAGGGAAAGGCGAAAAGAACCCCGGCGAGGGGAGUGAAAAAGAACCUGAAACCGUGUACGUACAAGCAGUGGGAGCACGCUUAGGCGUGUGACUGCGUACCUUUUGUAUAAUGGGUCAGCGACUUAUAUUCUGUAGCAAGGUUAACCGAAUAGGGGAGCCGAAGGGAAACCGAGUCUUAACUGGGCGUUAAGUUGCAGGGUAUAGACCCGAAACCCGGUGAUCUAGCCAUGGGCAGGUUGAAGGUUGGGUAACACUAACUGGAGGACCGAACCGACUAAUGUUGAAAAAUUAGCGGAUGACUUGUGGCUGGGGGUGAAAGGCCAAUCAAACCGGGAGAUAGCUGGUUCUCCCCGAAAGCUAUUUAGGUAGCGCCUCGUGAAUUCAUCUCCGGGGGUAGAGCACUGUUUCGGCAAGGGGGUCAUCCCGACUUACCAACCCGAUGCAAACUGCGAAUACCGGAGAAUGUUAUCACGGGAGACACACGGCGGGUGCUAACGUCCGUCGUGAAGAGGGAAACAACCCAGACCGCCAGCUAAGGUCCCAAAGUCAUGGUUAAGUGGGAAACGAUGUGGGAAGGCCCAGACAGCCAGGAUGUUGGCUUAGAAGCAGCCAUCAUUUAAAGAAAGCGUAAUAGCUCACUGGUCGAGUCGGCCUGCGCGGAAGAUGUAACGGGGCUAAACCAUGCACCGAAGCUGCGGCAGCGACGCUUAUGCGUUGUUGGGUAGGGGAGCGUUCUGUAAGCCUGUGAAGGUGUGCUGUGAGGCAUGCUGGAGGUAUCAGAAGUGCGAAUGCUGACAUAAGUAACGAUAAAGCGGGUGAAAAGCCCGCUCGCCGGAAGACCAAGGGUUCCUGUCCAACGUUAAUCGGGGCAGGGUGAGUCGACCCCUAAGGCGAGGCCGAAAGGCGUAGUCGAUGGGAAACAGGUUAAUAUUCCUGUACUUGGUGUUACUGCGAAGGGGGGACGGAGAAGGCUAUGUUGGCCGGGCGACGGUUGUCCCGGUUUAAGCGUGUAGGCUGGUUUUCCAGGCAAAUCCGGAAAAUCAAGGCUGAGGCGUGAUGACGAGGCACUACGGUGCUGAAGCAACAAAUGCCCUGCUUCCAGGAAAAGCCUCUAAGCAUCAGGUAACAUCAAAUCGUACCCCAAACCGACACAGGUGGUCAGGUAGAGAAUACCAAGGCGCUUGAGAGAACUCGGGUGAAGGAACUAGGCAAAAUGGUGCCGUAACUUCGGGAGAAGGCACGCUGAUAUGUAGGUGAAGUCCCUCGCGGAUGGAGCUGAAAUCAGUCGAAGAUACCAGCUGGCUGCAACUGUUUAUUAAAAACACAGCACUGUGCAAACACGAAAGUGGACGUAUACGGUGUGACGCCUGCCCGGUGCCGGAAGGUUAAUUGAUGGGGUCAGCGCAAGCGAAGCUCUUGAUCGAAGCCCCGGUAAACGGCGGCCGUAACUAUAACGGUCCUAAGGUAGCGAAAUUCCUUGUCGGGUAAGUUCCGACCUGCACGAAUGGCGUAAUGAUGGCCAGGCUGUCUCCACCCGAGACUCAGUGAAAUUGAACUCGCUGUGAAGAUGCAGUGUACCCGCGGCAAGACGGAAAGACCCCGUGAACCUUUACUAUAGCUUGACACUGAACAUUGAGCCUUGAUG
rnacentral:rRNA from 1 species